UACUAAGUGACGUACUCGUGUCUGUUACAUCUAUCCAUUCACUGGCCAGCCAGAAGACAAUCGGGCGGUGGUGCGCUAUACAUGAUACCAUUGUCGCACACCCCAAUCAGAUUUUGCUAUGGCAGUUACAGCUGGCGCCGCGCGUCCCCUUUUAAUCUCAGCUUAUUCAGUCCUUUUUGACGCCUAGCUACUAGCAGAGAUAAUGCAGACUAGUUCUACUUAGUUUUCCCAGCCAACUGGCGUGAGCUAAUAUAUACAGAAGCAUUAGCCAUACCUGCGCUUCGCCACCGCCAUUGCCGCUAGCGCUACCGAACGCAGCUAAUUUUGUCAACUGUUUUGCCUGUCCACAGUAGCAAUAGCGAUUAGUGCAGAUAGAGAGUGUUCGCCUCGUAUUCAUGGCUACUUUGCGCUUCACGUCAAACAGAUCAGAGACGACACGAUACCUUAGACAGGCGAUUAAAUACUUCGUCGUCAGAAAGCUGUACUUUGGCGGCAAAAAAAACCGAACCACAACGGGUCAACGAUUGGACCAACUACCUUAGAUACUUCAUAGCUGAUCGCGCUACUAUCGCGCGGUAGCCUCUCAGUGUCUAUGGUAAUUUCUCUGUGUAUUUUUUUAGCGGCCGAGGUCGACUUCGGGACACAGCGCAUUCGAUAACUGAAACUAGUGCCAAUCGGCUUUCAGCUGCUGAUGACGUAAAAACGACGGAAGUGAGUCAGAAUUGACGGCCGUAAAAAGGGCUGGUGAACAACCCCAACGGAAGAGCUAAUCAGAGCGGACGACUCGUAAAUUGAUUUCAAGUGUCCAGUAUUGAGUAAGAAAAAAAAAAGAAGAAUAACAGCGGCCAGUGCGUUCUUUGCGUGUUCGCGUGAGAGAAGUUUCGCCGGUAUAGGUCCCGUUAGGCGCGCAUGGUGCCACUGUUGGAACCUUUUUCAGAAAAAUGUAUCCCGCGGUCUAUUCGUAUGAAAAGGUCCGCGGAGUAUCAACGAAAAUACUCCGCUUUGAAGCCAAUUUACGACCAGAGACAGACGGAAUUUGGAGAGAGUUCCCGAUUGUGAUUAUGAUACCCGGCAACCCUGGAGAGAUUCAGUAUUACGAAGAGUUUCUUCGGCAGGUCUAUGGUCACUUUGAGGAACAGGUGGAAGUGGUUGGCGUAAGCCAUACUGGCCAUCACGCGCCUCCUUCAUCGCCACGUCCAGUGGGCCAAUCAAGUGAAGGUCAACAUAGUCAAGAAUUUCCCUCAAUUGAUGAACACUCAGAGCUCUACGAUCUUCAGGCACAGAUUCUCCACAAAAUAGAGUUUAUAAAGAGAUUCAUCGGAUUCGAACGUGAAGUGAUCCUAAUCGGUCACUCGAUUGGGGCGUACGUAGCGAUGCAGGUGAUCAAGAGAGAACCGCGACUAAAGUGUGAAAAAGCGAUCCUCCUUUUUCCCGUAAUAGAACGCUUGAUUUCAACAGAUCGUGCGCAAGAGCUCAUGAAAACGGUGCAACGAUGGUACUCGCCAUUUUUAUUUCUUUGCAAUCUAAUGCACUUUACGCCGCUACCGGUCAAGAGAUGGCUAGCUACGUGGUUUUGUGGACAAGCGCAUUUAGGUGAAGCAACCGCAUCGUUCCUAUGCAAACAAGCCAUGUACUCAUCAUGGUUUCUGGCGAAGGACGAACUCAAUAAGGUCGACAAGCGGGACGACGCAUUUUUGAAGAGGUCCUGGCGUCUCCUGUCAUUCUAUUACGGAAAUAGAGACGGCUGGUGUCCCAUCGAGUACUUCAAGGACAUGCAUCGCGAUUACCCCCAAGCCGACAUUACUCUGUGCAAUGAAAAUAUCGAUCAUGCCUUCGUUAUGGAUGAGCGGUCAACACGCCUAAUGGCUAAGUAUACUGCGGAAAAAUGCAAGGGCGUUCUGUAAGCUGAAUUCUGGGCGGACGCUGAAGAACGUUUAAAAUGAUAUUCUCUAAAAAGAACCUGAACGAGACAAAUUGAAUAUUGAUUGUGCUGGUCAAGUCAGCACUAAAACCUCUCGAUAGCUGCACAUCAGAGGUAAACAACAAAGAACAGAUUUUUUUGUUCCUCAAAGCGCAGUUUAAUUGUUUUGCGAUACUGAUGUGAGACGAAAUUCUAACGUUACCUGCUACGUAUGACGGGGCAGGACGAGGCCAGUAUUAACCAAAUACAAUUGAAGAGAAUACGCCAAGGAAGAAUGCUCGUCGACAAUGAUGAGCGUCGUCAUCGAUUGCUAUUUUAGUUUACUGAAUAUGCCAGGUCAUCCACCGAAGAGGUUGUAUCGCGUCUAUUGAGGUUGAUUUUCGAAUAGGGCCGCUCUCGUCCUUCGAAGCCCCGAAUUGUGCUUCGAAACUUUGUCCACACAGUGCUAGUGAGUUCCGAAUAGACUGGUCAUUUUUGUUUUGGAUUCGUCUGUGACACUCAGCAUAGACCCAGAUCUCCAGGAGAGGAAAAGGCAGGUUGUUCCUUAAGCGUUUUCUCUCACUUUAUUAUUUGUUGGUCGUCCUCUGCCCCCUUCGCGUCAAGGCGUAUUUCCUGUACGUCUGCAUAAGAAUAAAUAUCAUUGUAGUCAAACGCGUAACAAGUAGAUUCGUCUAUAGGACUUUGCCAAGCAGCAACGCACGAUGUGCUUUCGCACUAACAACACUGCGGAAUUCUCUGUGCAACGAUUGGAUACGUCGCAGAUAGAAGACCUUAACAAGCGUUCACAUAACUUGUCUAACUAGAAAUAGAUUCAAGUUAUGCGUACAAAAAAGAAGAAAUAUCGAUACCUGCAAAUAUGAAAUAUUCAAUAGAAGACAUUACCGUUUGACACAAAUUACGAUCAUUCAGCGACACUAACAAAGCUUUGGAAACGCAAAUGUCGCGUGUAUAAUGCUAGAAUAUAGUUAGCUAUUAUGUAUCCGGGUAACGGACGGUGACGUGUAGAUGAAAUGAAAGUAGUUAAUGGCCAUCCUAUAAUGCCGCGUCCUCUGCAAAUUUACUUGUUAUCGCCCACGGCGUAAGAGUCGCGGCUCAAACCAGUUGACGGACUGUCUUAUCGUCAUUUGUGCUGAGUACACAUUGAGACGAAGCACAUUUUGUGGAACGUAUUCAAAGAUCGGACAUGAAUGCAGAAGUAUCUACGUUUAUACAGACAUCGCACAUAACUCUCGAAUCGUACCCGAGCGCUGGCUCAGCGGCUGGCUCGUUUCCUGAGGGCACAAUUUUUGUGGCGUAUACUUUCGACCCCGGAGGCAUAGUAGUAGCGGUAGGCAAGUGUGGUCAACGUAGGGGUGAUUUGUUUCCUUGAUUUAUUGACAUUCACUAAUGCGUACAAAAACAAUAUCUACUCUCUCUCUCGCUCUCUCUUUCUCCCUCUUUCUUGCUUGCUUUCUUUCUUUCUCAAGAGCGAGCGAGCGAGAGAGGGAGAAGCAAAAUGUAUCGACGACUUCCAUUUUGAAAACGUUCCCUUUUGUUUCGACGUCGAGACAUGUUAAUAACUGAACUUUAUCAUAGAUAAGCUUAUGAUAUCUUUUUCUAUUUACACAAACUACAAACCUUCUUCUUCCAGUGAUUUCUGGAAAAUCUAAUAAUGAGGAAAACACAGGCGGCUACACAAUUUUCAGUUGAGAUGACAGCCUCUAUUAAGAAAAAAAAGGUACCCGCAACCAAAAGCCAAUCCUAGAGCAGGCGUUUCAGAAUGCCGUCUUUUAACAAGGUUUAUUGUGUACACUGUGCUUGCCGCACGUUAUUUGUUCGUGAUACGUUAUUACGCGUACAUGUUACGUAGUAAACAUAUAGUGGAUUGAGAAUGCCCUAAACCAUUUUACGAGUGCCACUUACGUUCGACAAAUCCCUCUAGACUAAUGUAUUGAGGUGUAUUUCAGGAAUCAGAACCAUGCGAGAAUAUACGAUGCGAUGGACUACGCCACCUAUUUAUGAUUGUUCUAUCCUUCAGUUAUAUAUUAUAAUUACUGCUUGGAAUAAUAUAAAAAUAAAGGGAAACCAAUGCAUAAGUCAAAGCGUUUU